UACGAAGGGGGCUAGCGUUGCUCGGAAUUACUGGGCGUAAAGGGCGCGUAGGCGGUGCUCUAAGUCAGGCGUGAAAGCCCUGGGCUCAACCCGGGAACUGCGCUUGAUACUGGGGCGCUUGAAUCCAGGAGAGGUUGGUGGAAUUCCCAGUGUAGAGGUGAAAUUCGUAGAGAUUGGGAAGAACACCGGUGGCGAAGGCGGCCAACUGGACUGGUAUUGACGCUGAGGCGCGAAAGCGUGGGGAGCAAACAGG
rnacentral:rRNA from 1 species